rnacentral:rRNA from 1 species
GACGAGGGGUCCAAGCGUUGUUCGGAAUUACUGGGCGUAAAGGGCUCGUAGGUGGCCAACUAAGUCAGACGUGAAAUCCCUCGGCUUAACCGGGGAACUGCGUCUGAUACUGGAUGGCUUGAGUUUGGGAGAGGGACGCGGAAUUCCAGGUGUAGCGGUGAAAUGCGUAGAUAUCUGGAGGAACACCGGUGGCGAAGGCGGCGUCCUGGACCAACACUGACACUGAUGAGCGAAAGCCAGGGGAGCAAACGGG